AAACCUCUUUCAGUAGGGACGAAGCGCAAGUGACGGUACCUACAGAAGAAGCACCGGCCAACUACGUGCCAGCAGCCGCGGUAAUACGUAGGGUGCGAGCGUUGUCCGGAAUUACUGGGCGUAAAGAGCUUGUAGGUGGUUUGUCGCGUUGUUCGUGAAAUCUCACGGCUUAACUGUGAGCGUGCGGGCGAUACGGGCAGACUAGAGUACUGCAGGGGAGACUGGAAUUCCUGGUGUAGCGGUGGAAUGCGCAGAUAUCAGGAGGAACACCGGUGGCGAAGGCGGGUCUCUGGGCAGUAACUGACGCUGAGAAGCGAAAGCGUGGGGAGCGAACAGGAUUAGAUACCCUGGUAGUCCACGCCGUAAACGGUGGGUACUAGGUGUGGGUUUCCUUCCUUGGGAUCCGUGCCGUAGCUAACGCAUUAAGUACCCCGCCUGGGGAGUACGGCCGCAA
rnacentral:rRNA from 1 species